AUGACCGUUUGCAAUACCUCCCUGGGUCAUCCUCCUUUCUUCAUUCUCCAAGGCAUUCCUGGGAUAGAGGACAAACACAGAUGGAUCUCUAUCCCCUUCUCUUCCAUGUACUUUGUCACCAUUCUUGGGAACUGCACCAUCAUCUUCAUCAUCUGCACAGAGCGCUCCCUGCACAAGCCCAUGUUCCUUCUCUGCAUGUUGGCCUUCACAGACCUGGGCAUGUCCACUACCACCAUUCCCAAGGUGCUGUGCAUCUUCUGGUUUGGCCAGAGUGAGAUCAGCUAUGUGGGCUGUCUGGUCCAAAUGUUCUUCAUCCAGUCCAUAUCUGCCUUUCAGUCUGCCAUCCUGAUGACCAUGGCCUUUGACCGCUAUGUGGCCAUCUGUGAGCCCCUGCGCUAUGCCACCAUUCUUUCCAAUAGUCGCAUUGGGCUCAUUGGCCUACUCUGUUUAGUGAGAACCAUCUUUUUCAUUCUGCCCAUGCCUGUCGUCCUCCAGAACAUGCCUUUUCAUGCAAAUCAUGUCAUCCCAACCACCUACUGUGAGCACAUGGCUGUGGUGAAGAUGGUGUGUGUGGCCACCACAGUCAACCGGAUAUAUGGUCUGGUGGUGGCCUUGUUGGUUGCAGGGCUAGACAUCUCAGCUAGUGCCUCCUCUUAGGUGCUUAUCAUCCGGGCUGUUCUGCGACUGUCUUCUAAAGAAGCCCACCACAAAGCAGUCAACACCUGUACCACAUAUAUCUCUGUUAUGCUUAUCUCUUACACACCUUCACUGUUCUCUUUUCUCACUCACCGCUUUGGCAGGGGAAUUCCACCCCAUGUGCACACCAUUCUUGGAAACCUCUACUUCCUUGUACCUCCAAUGCUCAAUCCUAUUAUUUAUGCAGUGAAAACCAAGGAGUUUUGGGACAAACUGACCAAAUAUGGGUGCUGGGAGAAGGAGCCCAUUACCAUUGCCCACGGUCAGAAGCUUGUCUGA